GUAUGUAGUUGGUAGUUGAUGAUUCUGAUAUACCGACCGGCUAUCGGUUUCUCUUAUUUUAUAUCAAGGGAUCAUCAAUAGUACAGUGUAUCGAAUUAUUUGGAUGGAUUGCCGCUUUGGAAGAUGGUCGGGAGUUAUUGAUAGGCAUUUGGCUUAUCGAUGGGCAGUAGGUCAUUUUUCGUAUUCUAUGAUGUCAAUAGGAUGUUGGGAUGAUGAAUUCUAUAGAUGCUACAGUCAAAUCAAUAAUUUUUAUGACGGUUUUGUUUGGAUGACUAAUUGAAUCUUUUGAUCUAACAUCCGUGGCUGACAUGGAAUCGGAGGACCUAACAC
rnacentral:lncRNA from 1 species